GAUGAAGAACGUAGCGAAAUGCGAUACUUGGUGUGAAUUGCAGAAUCCCGUGAACCAUCGAGUCUUUGAACGCAAGUUGCGCCCGAAGCCAUCAGGUUGAGGGCACGUCUGCCUGGGCGUCACAUAUCGUUGCCCAAUGCCUAUUGCAGUGCAAUAGGAAUUACUAGGGCGAAUGAUGGCUUCCCGUGAGCGUUGUUGCCUCGCGGUUGGUUGAAAAUCGAGUCCUUGGUAGGGUGUGCCAUGAUAGAUGGUGGUCGAGUUAGAACGAUACCGAUCAUGUGCAUGCUCCCCAAAAUAUGGCCUCUAUGACCCACACGCGUCUUUUGACGCUCAUGACGAGACCUCAGGUCAGGCGGGGCUACCCGCUGAAUUUAAGCAUAUCAAUAAGCGGAGGA
rnacentral:misc_RNA from 1 species